GGGAUGUUUGAGUUUGAUUGCGUUGUGAACUCUUUAAUUAAAACCAGAAGCAUAAAAGCAGAGAAUUAAUAUUGGCAACAAACUUUCACUUUUCUUCCUCUGUUUUUCAGUUUCAAGUGUUCUCUGUUUCAGAGGCCAUGGAUGUCUCUGAGAAAACAAAGUUGUUUGUGGGGGGUGUCUCGAAAGAGACUACUGAAGAAACACUGAGGCAACACUUUAGUAGGUUCGGUGAAGUAGAAGAAUCUUUGAUUAUCAGAGACCGCUUCACUGGCAUUGCACGAGGGUUUGGUUUUGUUACAUUUACCAGCCCUUUCAUGGCUACAGAGGCCCUGCGAACUCAGCAUUUUAUUCUUGGGAGAAAGGUUGAUGUUAAACCGGCAAACAGUAAAAAUGAUAGGCUGGAACGUUCAAGUGUUUAUGGUAGUGAUGUGAAAGGUUAUACUCAAUCUAGUAAGAAGAUUUUUGUGGGAGGUUUGCCACAUAACUUAACCGAAGAAGAGUUUAAAAGUUACUUUGAGUGUUUUGGUAAAAUAACAGAUGUGGUCAUAAUUUCAGACAAAGAAAAUCAAAGAUCAAGAGGCUUUGGUUUUGUCACAUUUGAUUUAGAGGAAGCUGUAGAUCAUGUGUUGCAGAAUAGUUUUUAUGAACUAAAACAUAAAAGGGUUGAGGUUAAGCGAGCCGAGCCUAAAGAUAGGAAUGAGAAUUAUGUGAAUUAUUAUGACUGUUAUAGUACAGGUUUGGCUUCUGGUUAUUCUGGCUAUCCUGGCUUUCAAGCUCAAGCAUAUUAUGAUUACUCUUACCUUCAGAAUGCAUAUGCUUCACCGAUUGCUUCAUCUACCCAUGCUCUAUUUGGGAAUCCUCAGUUUCAAUAUCAACAUCCGCCUUACUAUCCUCCUUAUUAUCCUCAUUAUUACUUUGGUGAUGGAGAUAUGUAUAGGAAUAGCCAACAUGGUGGUAUUGGACUAUACAUGAAUGGUCAGCCAGGUGGAACUGUUGACAGGACUUGUCUUAAUGGAAACUUGGUUGAAGAAUGUGAAAGUGGUACUAAUAACUCAAUUAGAGUUCAAAGUAAGGCCAACUCAAGUAGAAAUAACAGUAGCAAUGGUGAGAUUGAGGAGUGUGAGAGUCGUAGUAAUAACUCAAUUAGAUGUCAGGGAAGAGGCAACUUAAGUGGAGAUAACAAUGGUGAUAGCGAGAUUGAUGGUCCAGCAGGUUUGAAAGAUAGCUUAUCUGAUCAUCAAAGUGAAGAUAUAGAUAGUCAACAAAAUGGAGAGACUGAUGAUGUCAUUGUUCAAAAAGUAGUGUUGCAGAGGCAAUCAUCCCAGAGUUCUUGUUGACACUCUUAGUCAUCCAUUUGACAGUCAAUCAGGAGAUUUUUUGGAAGUGCAAAGAUGACCCUUUGACUCAAUUUAUUGCAGUACUAAAUGGCAAGCAUGUGGGCAGUGAUACUAUGUAUUUUAGUGGUAUCCAAAUUUAUAUAAAACAUACACUCAUGUGAGAAAGCAGCAAGGAAAGGCGAAAACAUUUGCAUGCAACUGGCAAUAUUGUACAGAUAAAACCUAGCAAACUUUUGUUUAUCUAUUUGCAAUUUAGUCCAUACACAUUGACCUUUCAGAAGUAUUUAUAAAUUGAAUGAUUAAAUAUAAUGAUUAUUUGGUUGUGUUGUUUUGUUUUUA